ACACGACUACAUUAGAUACCCGGGUAGUCCCAGCCGUAAACUAUGCGCGUUAGGUGUAUCGGUGACCACGAGUCACCGAGGUGCCGAAGGGAAACCGUGAAACGUGCCGCCUGGGAAGUACGGUCGCAAGGCUAGAAACUUAAAGGAAUUGGCGGGGAGCACCACAACGGGUGGAGCCUGCGGUUUAAUUGGACUCAACGCCGGGAAGCUCACCGGAUAAGACAGCGGAAUGAUUGCCGGGCUGAAGACUCUGCAUGACUAGCUG
rnacentral:rRNA from 1 species